UACGUAGGGGGCAAACGUUGCUCGGAAUUACUGGGCGUAAAGGGUGUGUAGGCGGCUGAGCAAGUCAAGGAUGAAAUCCCGGGGCUCAACUCCGGAAUUGUCCUUGAAACUGUUCAGCUUGAGGAUAGUUGAGGAGAGCGGAAUUCCCGGUGGAGCGGUGAAAUGCGUAGAUAUCGGGAGGAACACCAGAGGCGAAGGCGGUUCUCUGAGCUAUUCCUGACGCUGAGACACGAAAGCUAGGGGAGCAAACGGGAUUAGAUACCCCCGUA
rnacentral:rRNA from 1 species